rnacentral:tRNA from 1 species
AUGGCCGAGUGGUAAGGCGGGGGACUGCAAAUCCUUUUUCCCCAGUUCAAAUCCGGGUGCCGCCU